GCUUUCGCACCUGAGCGUCAGUCUUUGUCCAGGGGGCCGCCUUCGCCACCGGUAUUCCUCCAGAUCUCUACGCAUUUCACCGCUACACCUGGAAUUCUACCCCCCUCUACAAGACUCAAGCUUGCCAGUUUCAAAUGCAGUUCCCAGGUUGAGCCCGGGGAUUUCACAUCUGACUUAACAAACCGCCUGCGUGCGCUUUACGCCCAGUAAUUCCGAUUAACGCUUGCACCCUCCGUAUUACCGCGGCUGCUGGCACGGAGUUAGCCGGUGCUUCUUCUGCGAGUAACGUCAAUCGCUAAGGUUAUUAACCUUAACGCCUUCCUCCUCGCUGAAAGUACUUUACAACCCGAAGGCCUUCUUCAUACACGCGGCAUGGCUGCAUCAGGCUUGCGCCCAUUGUGCAAUAUUCCCCACUGCUGCCUCCCGUAGGAGUCUGGACCGUGUCUCAGUUCCAGUGUGGCUGGUCAUCCUCUCAGACCAGCUAGGGAUCGUCGCCUAGGUGAGCCAUUACCCCACCUACUAGCUAAUCCCAUCUGGGCACAUCUGAUGGCAUGAGGCCCGAAGGUCCCCCACUUUGGUCUUGCGACGUUAUGCGGUAUUAGCUACCGUUUCCAGUAGUUAUCCCCCUCCAUCAGGCAGUUUCCCAGACAUUACUCACCCGUCCGCCGCUCGUCACCCGAGAGCAAGCUCUCUGUGCUACCGCUCGACUUGCAUGUGUUAGGCCUGCCGCCAGCGUUCAAU
rnacentral:rRNA from 1 species